UCCACCGGCAAUAUGUCAGUAAUCGACGCCUAAUUUUCUUUGUGAUUGAAGUGCUGCAAAAUUAAAAAGUUCCUCCUUUUCCAGCGUGUGCACUUCUCUAACAUUGUUAUGUGCGGGUCUGCCUUCGUUUACUUAGCAAGUGGACAGACUUCAAAGCAAGCAUCUUCCGUGACAACAAUUUUGUGAAACAGCCAGGAAAUCUCAUGUUGCUGAAGCUGUGACUUGUUUGGCCAGACUUGAAACAUGAUCUGAGCACUGCUAAAUUAUCUUUGUACAGCAGCUGCAGGCUAUAACGGGUUUGAUAAAGGCUUUUUUUGUAUGGUUUUCAUGGCUAGAUGGCCUCAUUCAUGUUUAUGGUAUGUUCUACCAGCUUACCCGGCCAUAAUGACAGGCAUCUCCUACUUCAGACCUUCCAACAUAAUCAGCCUGUUAUGACCUUGUUUUCGUUAAAGAUCUUUUCAGAGUGGAAGAUUCCAUGAACAAGGAUAUUUCUAAAACAUCAUCAAUUGCAUAAGUAUUAAUUGUUCUCUCCAGAACUAACUUAGGCAUGCCGUAUUUCGAUCAGCUGAUGAUGUAUGAAAUAAUACUACAAAGUAUUAGCUAACCAUACAAGAUUAAAAUUUGGUCCUUUGAAGUAUGGAAUUGGUGCAAGAUUAAAGGUUCGGAAUGUGGUAUUUCGAUCAUUUGGUGAUGUACUCUGUACGAGUAGUGUAGCAAUUCACUUUCUAAAUAGUUAUGCAACUUAUACUAAAAUUUUACCCUGAUUCUUGUAUAUUAAUCUUUUUCCUAUUAAGUCAUCAAAUACUCGAAUAUCAUGAUUUUAAGUCAUUAUAAGCUA